UCAGGCCUAACACAUGCAAGUCGAACGGCAGCACGGGUGCUUGCACCUGGUGGCGAGUGGCGAACGGGUGAGUAAUACAUCGGAACGUACCUUAUCGUGGGGGAUAACGCAGCGAAAGCUGUGCUAAUACCGCAUACGCCCUGAGGGGGAAAGCGGGGGAUCGCAAGACCUCGCGCGAUUAGAGCGGCCGAUGCCUGAUUAGCUAGUUGGUGGGGUAAAAGCCCACCAAGGCGACGAUCAGUAGCUGGUCUGAGAGGACGAUCAGCCACACUGGGACUGAGACACGGCCCAGACUCCUACGGGAGGCAGCAGUGGGGAAUUUUGGACAAUGGGGGCAACCCUGAUCCAGCAAUGCCGCGUGAGUGAAGAAGGCCUUCGGGUUGUAAAGAAUGUUGUCAGGGAAGAAACACCGGCUCAACACAGUCCGGGA
rnacentral:rRNA from 1 species